GUUAAGGUAAGAUCUGUACCAAUGAUCCCGUUCAUAUAAGCAGCACUCUCCUUUCUUUCCCUUCUGUCUUAAAGAUCUAUGUAAAUUUUCUUUUGGUCUCAAAUUUGUUUCUUCAUUAUAUUUUGCCUGUAUAGAUAGAAUCCAAAAGAGACGAUUAGAGAUAACAUUAUUGAAAUUAAUAUGGAAACUCGCACAUACCAACCAGGGGAAAAAAAUCAACUGACUCUUUUGAAAGCUUCAAGACUAUUCAUAUAAUAUCUAAUUUGAAAAUAUUACAGAUGGAGAAUAAAGCCCCGGACAGAACCCAGGUGGCAACUAGCCUUCGGAAAGGAAACUCAUGUGUCUUCCACAAAAGGGACCCGCAAAUCAUUGAGAAGAAAGUGCUAAUCCACAGUGCUUCAGGGAGUAAGGUCUGACACCCAGCCAAGACACAAAAACUCUGACCUAGUAACUCAUUAAUGCACGUUAAUAAGGAUUAUAUGUUGCUUAAAAAUUCUAAUCUGGAAAAGCAAAUAAGAUGAAAAUAGUGAUCAAUAUAUGCUCCUGUCCCAGAAAUAAUUGAAAGUUUUAUUCAAUACGAAGUCACAAUAGUACUGGAAAAUAAAAAAGGAUCAGCAGUAAUGAGUGAAAGCUUUUUCCAAACAUGACUGCAACAGCUCCCUUCUUAUAUGCUCUUGUACAAUGUGGUCUUAACAUUCUUCCUGUCUGGUGGCAAUGUGUAUAUCUCUUUCUGAUGCACCUGGAUGGGCUUUUGUGACUUAACCAAUAGAGACAGAGUAAGGGAUGUCAUAUGAUGUCUGAAACUAGAUCAUAAAAAUGCCAGGCACUUCUGCUUUGCUCUCUCUUUUUUUUUUUUCCCGCUUUAUUUCCCAAACCCCCCCUGUACAUAGUUGUAUAUCUUAGUUGCACGUCCUUCUAGUUGUGGGAUGUGGGACGCCGCCUCAACGUGGCCUGACGAGCGGUGCCAUGUCCGCGCCCAGGAUCUGAACCCUGGGCCACCACAGCGGAGCGCACAAACUUAACCGCUUGGCCACGGAGCCGGCCCCCUGCUUUGCUCUCUUGAUAGAGCUACCAAGUUGUGAGGAACCCAAGCAGCCUGUGGAGAAGUCCCUGUGGAGAGGAACCAAGGCCCCUCGCCCACAGCUCUGCUUCAGCUCCCAGCUGACAAUCAGUACCAAGUUACCAACUAUGAGAAUGACCGUCUAAAAGCAGAUCCCCCAGGACCUAGUUGGACCUUCCUAGCUGAUGCCACAUGGAGCAGGGAUGACCUGUCCCUCACCAACUGUAUGCACAUUGCAGAUUCCUGAGCAAAAUAAAAUCAUUAUUGUUUUAAGCCAUCAAGUUUGAAAUGGUUUUUAUGCAGCAAUAGUAACUGGA
rnacentral:lncRNA from 1 species